rnacentral:sRNA from 1 species
GGCGCGCUGUCCACCUUCGCCAACACCAGCUCCUUCUUCUGGACCGUGGCCAUUGCGCUCUACUUGUACCUCAGUAUCGUCCGCGCCGCGCGCGGGCCUCGCACAGAUCGCCUGCUUUGGGCCUUCCAUGUCGUCAGCUGGGGGGUCCCGUUGGUCAUCACUGUGGCAGCCGUCGCCCUGAAGAAGAUUGGCUAUGAUGCCUCGGACGUGUCUGUGGGCUGGUGCUGGAUCGACCUGGAGGCCAAGGACCAUGUCCUGUGGAUGCUGCUGACGGGGAAGCUGUGGGAGAUGCUGGCAUAUGUGCUGCUGCCUCUGCUGUACCUCCUGGUCCGGAAGCACAUCAACAGAGCGGUAGGCGCUGCCCUCAGAGCUCAGGGCCCUCUAUAUGGCUGCUGCGCCCAGGUGCAAGGCCUGGCAUUGAGUUUGGCCACCCGAGGGGACAGGUUGCGUCUCUGGGG